AUUGAACGCUGGCGGCAGGCCUAACACAUGCAAGUCGAACGGUAACAGGAAACAGCUUGCUGUUUCGCUGACGAGUGGCGGACGGGUGAGUAAUGUCUGGGAAACUGCCUGAUGGAGGGGGAUAACUACUGGAAACGGUAGCUAAUACCGCAUAACGUCGCAAGACCAAAGAGGGGGACCUUCGGGCCUCUUGCCAUCGGAUGUGCCCAGAUGGGAUUAGCUAGUAGGUGGGGUAACGGCUCACCUAGGCGACGAUCCCUAGCUGGUCUGAGAGGAUGACCAGCCACACUGGAACUGAGACACGGUCCAGACUCCUACGGGAGGCAGCAGUGGGGAAUAUUGCACAAUGGGCGCAAGCCUUAUGCAGCCAUGCCGCGUGUAUGAAGAAGGCCUUCGGGUUGUAAAGUACUUUCAGCGGGGAUGAAGGGAGUAAAGUUAAUACCUUUGCUCAUUGACGUUACCCGCAGAAGAAGCACCGGCUAACUCCGUG
rnacentral:rRNA from 1 species